UCUGGCUCAGGAUGAACGCUGGCGGCGUGCCUAAUACAUGCAAGUCGAGCGAGAAUCAGUGAUGUAGAGAUUCGUCGAAGCGGAUCUGAGGAAAGCGGCGGACGGGUGAGUAACGCGUAGGCAACCUGCCCUUAGCAGAGGGAUAGCCAUUGGAAACGAUGAUUAAAACCUCAUAAUGCUGUAGAAACACAUGUUACUGCAGCCAAAGAUUUAUCGGCUAGGGAUGGGCCUGCGUCUGAUUAACUAGUUGGUGAGGUAACGGCUCACCAAGGUGACGAUCAGUAGCCGACCUGAGAGGGUGAUCGGCCACAUUGGAACUGAGACACGGUCCAAACUUCUACGGAAGGCAGCAGUAAGGAAUCUUGCACAAUGGGGGAAACCCUGAAUGCAGCAACGCCGCGUGAACGAUGAAGGCCUUAGGGUUGUAAAGUUCUGAUCUGUGGGAAGAAGAAGUGACGGUACCACAGGAGAAAGCCCCGGCUAAAUACGUGCCAGCCGCCGC
rnacentral:rRNA from 1 species